GCGGGCGUAGCUCAAUGGCAGAGUUCCAGCCUUCCAAGCUGGCCACGAGGGUUCGAUUCCCUUCGCCCGCUCCA
rnacentral:tRNA from 1 species